UAAUGCCAGCAAAGGAUGGUUUGAUA
rnacentral:piRNA from 1 species